rnacentral:lncRNA from 1 species
UCCGCGCACAGUUACGGAGUAUGCGGCUUCGCUUUGAUGUCCCUGCAUGUUUGAUGUAGAGUAAUUACUCAGUUGUUGUUGAAAACUCGCUCGGGUUUGCAAGACGCAGAGUGGAGAUCUUUGGAUACAUAUUCAUUUUGUUGUCGUGUACUCUGAGCCUAACCUACGAGUCGCCUGGCGCUAGCCGGACGACAUGGAGAGCAAACUCGAGUGACUGCACCGAGUACACAGAACCACAACGGUCGUGUUUACUCCUGCUUCUACAGGUUCUUCAGCAACAGUCGGGGGAAGACGGGGCACGCGCCGUGGAAGCUGCACGUUUAAUUAGUUACAUUUGCUAGUCAUUCACUGGACCUAUUCAGUUUGAUUUGUUUGAGUUUUCAGUGUAUCCGUGAAUGCGGAAACCUCUGGGAAAAUAUGUUCUUUCAUCGCCUAAAAUAGUUCCUGGAAAAGUAAUUGUCCACUCGAAAAAAAAGAAAGAAAAGAAAAAAAGAAAAAAAGAAGAAGAAAUAAAUGUGUUUAGUGUUACUGGGUUCCUAAUGUCAAUAAUUAAAACAGAACUAUCAGCUUUAAAGGUCCAAGGCACUAGCUGGGGCCAGGUCUGGGUUUGAGUCUGAAUUUGGCACACUAAAACGAAUGUGACAAAAACACACCGUGUCUGUGCUGGCGCGAACUUCAGAUCUGGUAGCAGACGACAUAGAACCUGCGCUAUAUUUUGACAGCGCCAGACUCACCAGUACCAUGAGAGUUGCUCUCAAGGAGGUUGCAGCCAGUAUCGGAAUACGAACCCAGAACGUACCAGCCUUACACACUAAACAGUAAACACUGCUCCACAGAGUUCCGAUAUAAGUUCAUUCAUAAGUAGAUAUAUAUUUUUAAACAAGGCUGAAUGGUAGACCUUGAACCACUUUCCGUCCUCGCCCACGUGCAUUGUCAAGCUUAUGAGAUCGUUAUAUCAGCAUCUGCGUUCUCCCUUUUGUCGACGUGUCUGGUUAAAGCUUCAAUAGCGCCGAUCCUCAUAAAGCUUCCAGCAGACUCCCAACGGAUAGACAGGGAUAUCGUGUCACUUGUCGUCAUAUUCAUCAAAUUACAAUAACACAAAUCUGUGCUUAAAGUCAGGUUUAGAGUCUCUGGAACUGGAAUAAUUUCAUUUAAUAAUCGCACAUCCUUGAAGGAUUUCAUACAUACACUCGCAAUUUAUAGAUAAUUGUCCACAGCCCUGUAGCACUUAUUAAAUACAAUUAAAUACAAAGAUAUUCGACCGAGGUUGUAAGACGACAUUACCAUUUUCCUGACACAAACAUGACUAUUAUUAUUCUUUUUUUUAUUAUUUCAAUCAAAUUAUAGUUCUCAACCGUUUCCACUCAUUUGAAAUUCAAAAAUAAAAAUAUAAAUAACAAUUAUUGUUUCAGAUGGGACCAACUGAUAAUAGACACUUCAAAGGAAAACUGCAACAAACUGUUGGAAUUUAAUUUUAUUUCCCUGUUAUCAUCUAACCCUAACUAUUCACCUUGUGCUUCCACUUAAUUAUCCUGUUUUGUUGUUAUUAUAGAAAUUGAUUGUUUGAUCAACUGACAAAGCAACUUACGAAUUUUAGAUCCUAUAAAGGAUAUUUUAGAGUCGCUAUGCCGUAAUGAACAAUUGAUUAUUGUUUUUCUUUUUAAUUAUGUCAUAAAGUAGAUAUUUUAAAUAUUCACGCCGAUGGUUUUAAGACUGUGAUGUAUUUUUAUUCAUUGUCUAUCUUGUAACAUUAAAAUCUUAGUAUCCAUAACACACAUAGUUCAUUAUUCAUCCGGUUAAUGAUUUCAUGUGAAACGCAUCGUGAUUUUGUGAUAUGUUACAUUGCACCAUCGACUUUAAGUUGCAACACCUUUGAUGAAUGGCUUUG